GUCAAGGGGUGUGAACACUUUCUGAAGGCACUAAGAAACAAAGUGGAAAGCAGCAUCGUUCUUGUUUGGAACAAUGUGUUGACUUGCAUGACCUAACAGAACAGCACGCAAACGUAUAAUAAAUCUAACAGCGGGGACGAGGAACUGCGCUGCUCGAGUGACGGAGCGAGGCUUUUUGUGCGUGAGAAAGCCUUGAGAGGAGAGCGGGAGAGACGACAAAAACAGAGGCAACUAUGGCGUUUUAAAAUAUUGCAAGAUGGAUAUCGAUGUGGAUAUUGCACGUAACUGUUAAGAUUUCUAUGUGAAUUAGAUUAAUUGUGUAUUCCUAAUGCACGCGCGCACGCGCACACACACACACACACACACACACACACACACACACACACACACACACACACACACACACACACACACACACACACACACACACACACACACACACACACACACACACACCUGAGGUAGGGGGGCGCAGGGGGUACGUCCCCAUCUACCCCCUCAGAGCAAAACAUAUUCAUCAUUUAAGCGAUGUCAGAAUGGUGUUAAUAAGGUGAUGUUCCUUCACACACACAAUUUUAAUUGUGUUUUUGUAGGGCAAAGGGAGCACUGUGGAUCAAAGGGCUCCCUAAUGUAGGCCUUAUACAAAAUCAGCAACACCCUCACACCACGUCCCAUGAUAAUUCCCCUCCGUAUCCAGCUGCUCUCUUUGUGUGUGUGUGAGAGAGAUGGAAGGACCUAUCAAUUAAUUCAGUACACUGUUACUAUACGCAUAUAAUCUAAAAUAAGUGAACACACUGGAUCUACUACGAUGAAAUAUGUACUCUAUUUGUCUCUCUCGCAUCGAUUCCAUUUAACCUAAUUGGACUUAAACCAAUCAUUUUGAACAGCAUAAAUAUAUCGCUCUCUUAAACAUUGUGAAUAAAUACUAUGUCGACACCCAUCUAUAAUUCAUUCUGCCUGUAUAAUAUGUCUACACCUAGAUCGUAUCUUAGUAUUGUGUAGUGUGCUAAAGCAUUUACAGAUGUAGGAUCUUAUUUGAUCACCAUGUUGUUGUGGGAAUUUUCCUGCACAGCAAAAAAAAUGCUAGUAUAGUAUAUUCAAGGGUUAAAAAGGGUUAAACAGGCUUCUAAAGUUUGUCAUUUCCACUUUAAAAUUGCAGACUUGAUUUGCCCUAACUAAAAAUGUAUCAUCAAUCCCUUCAAAAAUGUCAAAUAAUUAUAAUCCAAUAAUUCACAUUUCCUGUUGCUGCAUGAUUAUUUUCCUGCUGGUCAAAUUAAGACCCUACAUCUGUAUCAUGUAUUAGUUUGAGUUCUCGAUGGUGGUAACUGUGCAUAUAGCGUUAUAAGGCUCCGUUAUACAUGGAGGCUACAUACUAGUUUCUGAAAUCUAGGUCUAUGUGGUCAUCCGCACUGGUGGCAGUGGAGUCAGCGCUUUAGUCUCGCUCUCUCGUUCCUAAAUUAAACAUGGGAAACACUUAAAGAUUCCAUGUGAUUUAUGGACCCAUUUCAUUUUCAUUUCCAGACUUCAUAAAAUAGUCGGACAUCCUGCAUUUUUUAUUGUUAUGACAGGUUUUGUCAAGUGCGGGAAGGGAGAUCUGAGAAGGUUGAGGGCUGUGUGUGUGUAUGUGUGUGUGUGUGAGAGAGAGAGAGAUUGAUCUCUCCCCUGGACUUGGUGAUCCCCUUAACCCCAAUAAGCACAAAUAAGAUUUAGAUGUGGAUAUCCAUCCCCAUGAGGUCACCAAUUGUAGUAGUAGUAGUAGUAGUAGUAGUAGUAUACCAUAGCAGUAUUCUACAUAUACAGUAUAAUCUCUAGGAGUAGUGUACAACCUAACUUAAAAAACCAAUCUGCAAUUGGACAGAUAAUGACAGCAGCCCAUGGUAAAUUGAUUAAAUCCAGAGCAAUGUCACGAGAUAAAGGUAAUUUAUGGUUCAGAGUAAGGUUUGUUUUCAAAGCGUUGCGUUGACUUGAAAAGCAAGAGUAUUUUAAAAAAAUGUUUAAAAGGGCUAAUGACACAGGGUGAAGGUGAGAAUGGACAGACACAGGGUAAAGGUGAGAAUGGACAGACACAGGGUGAAGGUGAGAAUGGACUGACACAGGGUGAAGGUGAGAAUGGACUGACACAGGGUGAAGGUGAGAAUGGACUGACACAGAGUGAAGGUGAGAAUGGACAGACACAGGGUGAAGGUGAGAAUGGACAGACACAGGGUGAAGGUGAGAAUGGACAGACACAGGGUGAAGGUGAGAAUGGACAGACACAGGGUGAAGGUGAGAAUGGACAGACACAGGGUGAAGGUGAGAAUGGACAGACACAGGGUGAAGGUGAGAAUGGACAGACACAGGGUGAAGGUGAGAAUGGACAGACACAGGGUGAAGGUGAGAAUGGACAGACACAGGGUGAAGGUGAGAAUGGACAGACACAGAGUGAAGGUGAGAAUGGACAGACACAGAGUGAAGGUGAGAAUGGACAGACACAGGGUGAAGGUGAGAAUGGACAGACACAGGGUGAAGGUGAGAAUGGACAGACACAGGGUGAAGGUGAGAAUGGACAGACACAGGGUGAAGGUGAGAAUGGACAGACACAGGGUGAAGGUGAGAAUGGACAGACACAGGGUGAAGGUGAGAAUGGACAGACACAGAGUGAAGGUGAGAAUGGACAGACACAGGGUGAAGGUGAGAAUGGACAGACAAAUUCUUUGAAAAUGGGUAAAUGCAACAUGUAAUAUACAUAAUUAAACAGGUUUGGUACACCUGCCUCUAACCACUAGGCUACCUGCCUCUAACCACUAGGCUACCUGCCUCUAACCACUAGGCUACCUGCCUCUAACCACUAGGCUACCUGCCUCUAAGCACUAGGCUACCUGCCUCUAUCCACUAGGCUACCUGCCUCUAACCACUAGGCUACCUGUCUCUAACCACUAGGGUACCUGCCUCUAACCACUAGGGUACCUGCCUCUAACCACUAGGGUACCUGCCUCUAACCACUAGGGUACCUGCCUCUAACCACUAGGGUACCUGCCUCUAACCACUAGGGUACCCGCCUCUAACCACUAGGGUACCUGCAAUCUAAUAAUCUAACAGUCUAACAGUCUACAA